UGGAAGUAAAAAGUCGUAACAAGGUCUCCGUUGGUGAACCGGCGGAGGGAUCAUUAGCGAGUAAUACUCUCUAACACCAUUGUGAACGAACCGAAUUUAGUUGCUUCGGCGGGGUAAAACCCGCCGGAAGAACGCAAACACUCUGUAAUGAUUGUAUCUCUGAGCUAACUUUUUAAUAAGUUAAAACUUUCAACAACGGAUCUCUUGGUUCUGGCAUCGAUGAAGAACGCAGCGAAAUGCGAUAAGUAAUGUGAAUUGCAGAAUUCAGUGAAUCAUCGAAUCUUUGAACGCACAUUGCGCCCGCCAGCACUCUGGCGGGCAUGCCUGUUCGAGCGUCAUUUCAACCAUCAAGCCCCAGGCUUGCGUUGGGGGCCUGCGGCUGCCGCAGCCCCCUAAAAGCAGUGGCGGGCUCGCUGUCAUUCCGAGCGCAGUAGUUACAUCUCGCUCUGGGCGUGGCGGCGGGCACCGGCCGUAAAACACUCUUUCUAAGGUUGACCUCGGAUCAGGUAGGAAUACCCGCUGAACUUAAGCAUAUCAAUAAGCGGAGGA
rnacentral:rRNA from 1 species